CCUACGGGAGGCAGCAGUAGGGAAUAUUGCUCAAUGGGGGAAACCCUGAAGCAGCAACGCCGCGUGGAGGAUGAAGGUUUUCGGAUCGUAAACUCCUUUUGUCAGAGAAGAUAAUGACGUUAUCUAACGAAUAAGCACUGGCUAACUCCGUGCCAGCAGCCGCGGGAAUACGGAGGGGGCGAGCGUUAGUCGGACUCACUGGGCGUAAAGUGCUCGUAGGCGGGAUAGCAAGUCAGAUGUGAAACCCUAUGGCUUAACCAUCGAACUGCCUUUGAAACUGUAAUUCUGGAGUGUGUGAGAGGUAAGUGGAAUGCUUGGUGUAGGGGUAAAAUCCGUAGAGAUCAGGAGGAAGACGCAUUGCGAAGGCGACCUGCUAGAACAUAACUGACGCUGAUGCGCGAAAGCGUGGGGAGCAAACAGGAUUAGAUACCCGAGUAGUC
rnacentral:rRNA from 1 species